UCUCUCUCUCUCUCUCUCUCUCUCCCUCCCUCCCUCCCCAACUUUCCCUUAGAAGCCCGCUUUCUUCCUCUUCAUCCUCCGAUGAACCACUCGUCAAUUUUGUUUCUCUAGCUUCCGGCGACGACUACGGCUAUGGACGAAACUAUUAGAUCCGGUGACGAUGCUCGAGCUCUAACUAACCAGAUAGCUUCUCGGUCUCACCGACCUCACCUACUGCUAGUCGCUCGAUCUCCAAAUCUUCGCCAUUCUCGACCCCAAGCUCAAUCUAGCUCUAAUUGACGACUCGUUCGUAUUGUCAAUCUGAUAUCCUUUUAGUUUCUACACUUUUUCGAUUUCAAUUUAUUUAUUUUCUUCAUAGCGAUAUGUCAUUACUCGAUUCCGGAGCUUUUCAUUUUGCUUGUACUCAGUUAUGGAAAUUGUUAGGAUUUUGGUUAAGCAUUUGCGAAAUUGAACACAUUGAUUUACUGGAACUGCUUGAUUUUGAUGUUUUGAUGGUCUUAUCUCAACGAAGCUCCGCUCAGUAUCUCCGGCAACGAUCCGAUUGGCUUCUCUCUGCCGAAUAGAGGUAGUCCCAGUUACAUUGGCUGGUCUAAUUCCUCUAGAGCUUUGUGGUUGCUCUAAAGAUGGAAGGAGGUCAGCACUCCAAGAUGCAUUGCUCUUCCAUUCACCAAGAAUUCUUCCCCUUUGUAGUAGUAAAAUCCAAAAAUCAUGUGAAUUUGGGUAGUGAAGCCUCCAUUGACCAAGAUAUCAUCUGGCCAACCAAAUAAAGUUGAAAUGAAGUCUAGUUCUGAGGUGGCAAAAUAAUGCCUCUAUGCUUAGUGUAGUGUGGUAGAGCUUGACAAUAAGGAACAUCGACGGUGAUCAUCUGAAAAAUGACAGUAGCAUUACAACAUUGACAAUAGCUUUAUGUAACUAUUGUACUAGAUUUUCACAGCUAUAGUAGUGGCUUUUUACAACUAUGGAAGUAGCUUUUUACAUAGUUAUAUCAUUGUUGAACCCUGCAUAUUUUGUGUAUCAUUAAAUAUGUUUUAUGUUCUCUAUUACAAUAGCAUUUUUAUUUUGGUUGUAUCCUUUAAAUUUCCAUACUUUUGUAGUUUUUUAGAAUUGCUUUUUCAAUCUCUGGGAGUAGCUUUUGUUCUGCUUGGUAGUAGUUUUUGUUAUGUUUGGUUAUUGUUUUUGUUACUGGUGACUGCUUUCUAGUGUUAGUGACAGUAGUGUUUGUUGCUG